GCGGAUAUGAUGGAAUUGGUAGACAUGCCAGGUUUAGGUUCUGGUAACCAUAAUGUUUGUGGGGGUUCGAGUCCCUCUAUCCGUACAAGUCGGAA
rnacentral:tRNA from 1 species